CCUACGGGUGGCAGCAGUGAGGAAUAUUGGUCAAUGGCCGAACGUCUGAACCAGCCAAGUCGCGUGAAGGACGAAGGUGCCAAGCGUUGUAAACUUCUUUUAUAUGGGAAUAAAAUGAUCCACGUGGGGGAUUCUGUGUGUACCAUAUGAAUAAGGAUCGGCUAACUCCGUGCCAGCAGCCCCGGUAAUACGGAGGUUCCGAGCGUUAUCCGGAUUUAUUGGGUUUAAAGGGAGCGUAGGGGGAUUGUUAAGUCAGUUGGGAAAGUUUGGGGCCUAACCGGAACAGUGCAGUUGAAACUGGCAGUCUUGAGUACAGGAGAGGUGUGCGGAAUUCGUGGUGUAGCGGUGAAAUGCUUAGAUAUUGCGAAGAACUCCGAUUGCGAAGGCAGCUCACUGGA
rnacentral:rRNA from 1 species